rnacentral:tRNA from 1 species
AACCCGGACGACGACGACGACGUCGUUCUUCGCGACGAGAGCGCGCUGCGGGCCUCGUUCUUUCUGACCA